rnacentral:rRNA from 1 species
GUCUUUUUGUUUAUAAUUUAAAGUCAAAUCUGCUCCAUGAAUUUAUAUUUUAAAUAGCUGCAGUAAUUUAACUGUACAAAGGUAGCAUAAUCAAUAGUUUUUUAAUUAAAAGCUAGAAUGAAUGAUUUAAUAAGGUAAAUAUUGUCUCAAUUUUAAUAAUAUUAAAAUUUUUUUUUUAGUAAAAAUACUAAAUUAAAUUUAAAAGACGAGAAGACCCUAUAGAUUUUUAUAUUUUUAAUUAAUAAAAUUUUAAUUAAUAAAUAAAUUUUAAUAAAAAAAAUAUUUAAUUGGGGAAAUUAUUAAAUUAAAUUAAUUUUAAUAAAUAAAAACAAAAAUGAUUGAUUGAUUGAUCUUAAUUAUAAAUUAAUAGAAUAAAUUACCUUAGGGAUAACAGCGUAAUUUUUUUUGAGAGAUCUAAUUGAUAAAAAAGUUUGCGACCUCGAUGUUGAAUUAAGAUUAAAUUUUAAUGAAGAAGUUAAAAAUUUUUGGUCUGUUCGACCAUUAAAAUCUUACGUGAU